rnacentral:rRNA from 1 species
CUUUUGUAUAAUGGGUCAGCGACUUAUUUUCAGUGGCGAGCUUAACCGAAUAGGGGAGGCGUAGCGAAAGCGAGUCUUAAUAGGGCGUCUAGUCGCUGGGAAUAGACCCGAAACCGGGCGAUCUAUCCAUGGGCAGGUUGAAGGUUGGGUAACACUAACUGGAGGACCGAACCGACUACCGUUGAAAAGUUAGCGGAUGACCUGUGGAUCGGAGUGAAAGGCUAAUCAAGCUCGGAGAUAGCUGGUUCUCCUCGAAAGCUAUUUAGGUAGCGCCUCAUGUAUCACUGUAGGGGGUAGAGCACUGUUUCGGCUAGGGGGUCAUCCCGACUUACCAAACCGAUGCAAACUCCGAAUACCUACAAGUGCCGAGCAUGGGAGACACACGGCGGGUGCUAACGUCCGUCGUGAAAAGGGAAACAACCCAGACCGUCAGCUAAGGUCCCAAAGUUAUGGUUAAGUGGGAAACGAUGUGGGAAGGCUUAGACAGCUAGGAGGUUGGCUUAGAAGCAGCCACCCUUUAAAGAAAGCGUAAUAGCUCACUAGUCGAGUCGGCCUGCGCGGAAGAUGUAACGGGGCUCAAACCAUACACCGAAGCUACGGGUAUCACGCAAGUGAUGCGGUAGAGGAGCGUUCUGUAAGCCUGUGAAGGUGAGUUGAGAAGCUUGCUGGAGGUAUCAGAAGUGCGAAUGCUGACAUGAGUAACGACAAUGGGUGUGAAAAACACCCACGCCGAAAGACCAAGGUUUCCUGCGCAACGUUAAUCGACGCAGGGUUAGUCGGUCCCUAAGGCGAGGCUGAAAAGCGUAGUCGAUGGAAAACAGGUUAAUAUUCCUGUACUUCUGGUUAUUGCGAUGGAGGGACGGAGAAGGCUAGGCCAGCUUGGCGUUGGUUGUCCAAGUUUAAGGUGGUAGGCUGGAAUCUUAGGUAAAUCCGGGAUUCUAAGGCCGAGAGCUGAUGACGAGUUACCCUUUGGGUGACGAAGUGGUUGAUGCCAUGCUUCCAAGAAAAGCUUCUAAGCUUCAGGUAACCAGGAACCGUACCCCAAACCGACACAGGUGGUUGGGUAGAGAAUACCAAGGCGCUUGAGAGAACUCGGGUGAAGGAACUAGGCAAAAUGGCACCGUAACUUCGGGAGAAGGUGCGCCGGUGAGGGUGAAGCACUUGCUGCGUAAGCCCACGCCGGUCGAAGAUACCAGGCCGCUGCGACUGUUUAUUAAAAACACAGCACUCUGCAAACACGAAAGUGGACGUAUAGGGUGUGACGCCUGCCCGGUGCCGGAAGGUUAAUUGAUGGGGUUAGCUAACGCGAAGCUCUUGAUCGAAGCCCCGGUAAACGGCGGCCGUAACUAUAACGGUCCUAAGGUAGCGAAAUUCCUUGUCGGGUAAGUUCCGACCUGCACGAAUGGCGUAACGAUGGCGGCGCUGUCUCCACCCGAGACUCAGUGAAAUUGAAAUCGCUGUGAAGAUGCAGUGUAUCCGCGGCUAGACGGAAAGACCCCGUGAACCUUUACUAUAGCUUUGCACUGGACUUUGAAUUUGCUUGUGUAGGAUAGGUGGGAGGCUUUGAAGCGUGGACGCCAGUUCGCGUGGAGCCAUCCUUGAAAUACCACCCUGGCAACUUUGAGGUUCUAACUCAGGUCCGUUAUCCGGAUCGAGGACAGUGUAUGGUGGGUAGUUUGACUGGGGCGGUCUCCUCCUAAAGAGUAACGGAGGAGUACGAAGGUGCGCUCAGACCGGUCGGAAAUCGGUCGUAGAGUAUAAAGGCAAAAGCGCGCUUGACUGCGAGACAGACACGUCGAGCAGGUACGAAAGUAGGUCUUAGUGAUCCGGUGGUUCUGUAUGGAAGGGCCAUCGCUCAACGGAUAAAAGGUACUCCGGGGAUAACAGGCUGAUACCGCCCAAGAGUUCAUAUCGACGGCGGUGUUUGGCACCUCGAUGUCGGCUCAUCACAUCCUGGGGCUGAAGCCGGUCCCAAGGGUAUGGCUGUUCGCCAUUUAAAGUGGUACGCGAGCUGGGUUUAGAACGUCGUGAGACAGUUCGGUCCCUAUCUGCCGUGGACGUUUGAGAUUUGAGAGGGGCUGCUCCUAGUACGAGAGG